GUAAAGACAAAGGGGUGCCCCAUGGAGGGCUGAGAUUAUACCCGUUGAACCUGAUGCAGUUAGUACUGCCGUAGGAAUUGUUGCAAAGCUUAUU
rnacentral:ncRNA from 1 species